rnacentral:rRNA from 1 species
UACGUAGGGUGCGAGCGUUGCUCGGAAUUACUGGGCGUAAAGAGUGCGCAGGCGGCUUUGUGCGUCCGCUGUGAAAUCCCCGGGCUUAACCUGGGAAUGGCAUUUGGGACUGCAAGGCUUGAGUGCGGCAGAGGAGACUGGAAUUCCUGGUGUAGCAGUGAAAUGCGUAGAUAUCAGGAGGAACACCGAUGGCGAAGGCAGUUCUCUGGGCUGACACUGACGCUCAUGCACGAAAGCGUGGGGAGCAAACAGG